rnacentral:tRNA from 1 species
GGGCCCGUAGCAUAGUCUGGUUGGUGCACACGACUGAUAAUCGUGCGGUCCGGGGUUCAAAUCCCCGCGGGCCCA